GUACUUCACCUGCAGGGAGACACCAUGAUCACAAGAUCACAAAGGUGGUUUUCCCAGGGUAAGGUUCAUCCAUUGCACUCUGGAUGUGCUGACUCCCGAUAUUUUCCCAAAUGCAGGAAACUCCACUACAUACUUUGUGGUAGUGGAGGAUUGUUUUUGCACUCUCCUCUG
ensembl:snRNA U1 U1 spliceosomal RNA